rnacentral:rRNA from 1 species
CGCCUGGUUAGGUCGCAGAGUGGCGAACGGGUGAGUAAUGCGUGACCAACCUGCCCCAUGCUCCAGAAUAGCUCUUGGAAACGGGUGGUAAUGCUGGAUGCUCCAACUUGACGCAUGUCUUGUUGGGAAAGUGUUUAGUGGCAUGGGAUGGGGUCGCGUCCUAUCAGCUUGUAGGCGGGGUAAUGGCCCACCUAGGCUUCGACGGGUAGCCGGCCUGAGAGGGCGGACGGCCACAUUGGGACUGAGAUACGGCCCAGACUCCUACGGGAGGCAGCAGUGGGGAAUAUUGCGCAAUGGGGGGAACCCUGACGCAGCGACGCCGCGUGCGGGAUGAAGGCCUUCGGGUUGUAAACCGCUUUUGAUUGGGAGCAAGCCUUUUGGGUGAGUGUACCUUUCGAAUAAGCGCCGGCUAACUACGUGCCAGCAGCCGCGGUAAUACGUAGGGCGCAAGCGUUAUCCGGAAUUAUUGGGCGUAAAGAGCUUGUAGGCGGUUCGUCGCGUCUGGUGUGAAAGCCCAUCGCUUAACGGUGGGUUUGCGCCGGGUACGGGCGGGCUAGAGUGCAGUAGGGGAGACUGGAAUUCUCGGUGUAACGGUGGAAUGUGUAGAUAUCGGGAAGAACACCAAUGGCGAAGGCAGGUCUCUGGGCUGUUACUGACGCUGAGAAGCGAAAGCGUGCGGAGCGAACAGGAUUAGAUACCC